rnacentral:rRNA from 1 species
AUGGUGACGUCGGCUAUCUUCUCCGUGCUCGACCCCGUCCGCGCCCUCGCCGCCCGGUUCGCGCCCAGAGUGCAGGCCACCUCGGAAGACGAGGAGAGCGGCGAUUCGGGCGAGCUCGUGCGAUCCACGGACAAGCAUGAGCAGGAGUUCUUGGAGAAGGCGGACGAGGAGCUGGACAAGGUGAACAUCUUCUACGCGGCGCAGGAGGCUGAGCUGCUGGGCCGUGGCGAGGCGCUCAUCGACCAGCUCCGCAUCCUCGCCGACGUCAAGCGCAUCCUGGCUGACCACGCGGCCACCCGCCGCGCCCGGGGCACCCUCCUCGGCCGCAGCCGCUCCAUGCCGCCGCCCUCGCCGGCGCUCAGUGGCUCCGGGCGGUACCUCCUCUCGGGCCUCGCCACGCCGCAGUCCAUGUCAGAUGGGAGCGUGGAGCUGCAGCAGGCGCAGAUGACGGAGGGCGUGGCGAUGGCCGACGAGGUGAUGGCGGCGCUGGAGCGCAACGGCGUCAGCUUCGUGGGAUUGCCCGGCAAAAAGGACGCCAAGAAGGAGGGAAGCGGCGGCAGGGGCGGAGACUGCAGCUGCCGUCGACGGUGCGGAUCGACAUCCCGGCGAGCAACCCAGGGCGGGCGGCGCUCAAGGUGUGGGAGGAGCUGGUGA